UCCUGGCUCAGGAUGAACGCUGGCGGCGUGCUUAACACAUGCAAGUCGAACGGAGUAUUAAGAAUGAAGUUUCGGAUGGAUGUUAAUACUAGUGGCGGACGGGUGAGUAACGCGUGGGUAACCUGCCUCACACAGGGGGAUAACAGUUGGAAACGACUGUUAAUACCGCAUAAGACCACAGUACCGCAUGGUACAGGGGGUAAAAAACUCCGGUGGUGUGAGAUGGACCCGCGUCUGAUUAGUUAGUUGCGGGGUAACGGCCCACCAAGACGACGAUCAGUAGCCGAUCUGAGAGGAUGACCGGCCACAUUGGGACUGAGACACGGCCCAAACUCCUACGGGAGGCAGCAGUGGGGAAUAUUGCACAAUGGGGGAAACCCUGAUGCAAGCGACGCCGCGUGAGUGAAGAAGUAUUUCGGUAUGUAAAGCUCUAUCAGCAGGGAAGAAAAUGACGGUACCUGAGUAAGAAGCCCCGGCUAACUACGUGCCAGCAGCCGC
rnacentral:rRNA from 1 species